AUUGAACGCUGGCGGCAUGCCUUACACAUGCAAGUCGAACGGCAGCGACGGGAGCAAUCCGUGGUGGCGAGUGGCGAACGGUGAGUAAUGUAUCGGAACGUACCUUUCAGUGGGGAUAACGUAGCGAAAGUUACGCUAAUACCGCAUAUUCUGUGAGCAGGAAAGCAGGGGAUCGCAAGACCUUGCGCUGAUUGAGCGGCCGAUAUCAGAUUAGCUAGUUGGUGAGGUAAAGGCUCACCAAGGCGACGAUCUGUAGCGGGUCUGAGAGGAUGAUCCGCCACACUGGAACUGAGACACGGUCCAGACUCCUACGGGAGGCAGCAGUGGGGAAUUUUGGACAAUGGGCGCAAGCCUGAUCCAGCCAUGCCGCGUGAGUGAAGAAGGCCUUCGGGUUGUAAAGCUCUUUCAGCCGGGAAGAAAACGCAUGGGUUAAUACCCUGUGUGGAUGACGGUACCGGAAUAAGAAGCACCGGCUAACUACGUG
rnacentral:rRNA from 1 species